AUUUGAGUCUUUUUAGAUAUUAAAAUCCCUUAAAUACGCAUAUUUUUGUUUCUCUUUCUCUCUUCCUUCCUCCGUGUCUUCCUGCCACUGUCUCCUCUCUGCAUCACAGUCUGCUAGUGAGUAGAAUACAAACCAUAAAUCAGCUUCAGGUGUUUACUUGCAUCAGUCACAGAUAGAAGAUCCAAUCGUGCAAGAAUAGGUUCCCCUUUUUCUGAUGGAAUUAGUCAGUUCUGUGUCUUCCUCCUCCCUCCCUCUGGAUCUUCCUUUCUUUCUAUUUUUAGAUAGACAGUCUGAAAAGUCUUAAUAUAUCAAUGACAUUUAUAACACAUGUUAAUAUCUAAAGCGUCAAAGCUCUAUUUGUAGAAAUGACGGCUGAUGUGAUGAGAUGCUUUCAUUAUAUCAGUGACUUUUAUGAUAAAUAGGAUGAAGCUGUGCACUCUUUUUUUGGAAAAUUAAAUAAUAAUAGUAAACUAUUCUCUGUCCCAGUUUGUCCAACCAUUAGCUUCAAGUACUAGGUUUUACUUUUUUUGGUGCACUUUUUUAUAAAUUGCUCUUUACAACUUCAGGGUGAAUAUCUGUCUCUUGGAAUAGAUGACAGCAGGUUCUUCUGGAAGAAUGCAUUAGGGAGGUUAAGGGAGAAAAGAAGAUUCUCUAUCUACAAAGGUCUUUUCAGCAUCGAAACCAACCUCUGUUCUGCUAGCUUAUCCGGCUUAACAGAGAGCAAUCAAGCUACUCAUCCUAGACCUGUGGAUGCAGGAGCCACGUAGAAGGUAUUUUAAAAGAGGCGGUAAAACAAGCCCAACAUUAAAAGCAGAGAAUAUUGCUUUCAUUACUGGCUGUGUGAUUUUGGAAUAUGUAACUUCACCUCUCUGAGACUUGUUUCCCUCCUUGGUACUUAAAGAUUAUAAUAUUUAUUUCAUGGGGCUUUUAUGAAGAUGAAAUAUAUGUGAUCGAUCUGGCACAUGGGAGGGAAUCAAUAAAUGGUGGCUAUUAUCAUUACCA
rnacentral:lncRNA from 1 species